UCUAUUGAUAAUAUUUUUUUUAUUUGCCAUUUAUUUUAUACAUUUUUUUAAUAUUUUUUAUUAUAUAUAAUGUGUAUAUCCUGCCGAUGUACUGGAAUAUUAAGCUGUCUAGGAAAUUUAUCUUAUAUAUUUGAAAGGCUAGCAUCAUGCUGUGCUAUGACUGCUGUUGUGUCUUGUAUCGUCACCACAUUGAUUUUUAUGCUGGGAGUUGGCGUCGGACUUGGCUACAACUAUUGUUACGUUGACUUCACUUCUGGGCAGCGUGCCAGCGCUGAGGCAUUUGAUUCCUUUGAGGACCUCAUGGUAAUACCUGUAAAUGAUACAGAGACUGACGACAGAUCGAGCAAAGAUUCGAGAAAGUCGUUCCAGCCCUUCGACCUACCUAUUAAGAAAAACGUGAAGAUAUCCGUACCCUUGAAUGAGGGCAUCGAUUUUACACAACUUCUGAAUAAAAUAAGAAGUUCACGAAAGAAUGUAACUCUUCAAUUAAUUGUAUAGGAGAUAUUGGAAAUAAUGGGAAGGUCAAUACACAAGCAAGAGUACCAGUCAGUAAUCAUAAUGACGAUAUAAGAUUAAAAACUGAACUCGUACGAACUACAACUAAUCCUUUUUCGUAAUAAAAUGAUUAGCAAAUUUUGUAAAUAAAUCCACGAACACUAUUCGAUUGGCAUUUGUGUAGUGAAAUAUACAAUGUAUAGAGUAUGUGUUUGUAUUGUCAAUCUGAUAUCGGGUUGACGUAUUCAUGUACAUCUACAUUAUCGAAGUAGGCAAAACAGUACUAGUACAAAGAGCUGUUUGAUUUCGCACAUAUUUUAUUGAAUUGUGGUGUUCAUUCAAAUGCAAUGAUUGUUCAAAUUUCUAUGGAAUACACGCCGUUCAUUUAAUAAAUUUGUUGAUUGAAUUUUAUUUUUUA